AUGGGUCACCGUCGCUGCUCCUGUAGCAGUUGCAUUAGUUUCCCUCCUCGAGUAUUAUAUUGGAUCCACUCCCAAUAACGGAAUAUCCAAUUCUCCCCCACAAAAAGAAGGAAUCAGCAUAUCGCAGGGUCCUUAUUCCCCGUCCUCUGCGUUGGCUGUGUUGCUGCUGCUACCGCCCCCGAGGAUUAUCCACCGCCGAGGCUCCUCCGUCCGCUUCCCAAUUGCUGUGGAGGUUGAGACAAGCAAGUACUUGUACCUGACGAAGAUUUUGAUGCUGACUUGCCUUUAGCCCUUUACGUCGCUCAAUCGAAAAACGCUGAUAACAUGGAAACAUACACCACGGAUAACGCGCUUGCAGCCAUGGGAUUUGGGAAAUUCCAAGCACUAGUUCUUAUUUAUGCAGGCAUGGGAUGGGUUGCAGAAUCCAUGGAGCUCAAUCUAUUGUCGUUUGUUGGGCCAUUGGUGCGAGAGGAAUGGAAAAUCUCUGCACAAGAUGAGAGCCUACUCUCAAGUGUAGUGUUUUUUGGCAUGUUAAUAGGAGCAUGUGGUUGGGGAUAUGUUUCCGACAAAUAUGGGCGAAGGACUUGUUUACUGUUUUCAACACUAUUU